UAUAACGGAUUAUUCGAACCAGUUCGAUAAAUAAAUCUUUCUAAAUCAAUAGAAAAAAAUUUGAUUCAACUAUUUUGAAUACUCAAUACAUAUCGAAAUCGAACUUCGAUUAAUCGUAUAUAUAUCUCGAACGCUCUCGAGCGCGCUCGAACUUUCAACAUGGUGUAUAACACACUGCUGAAAACGUAAUCGCUGAUAUCGUUCAAGUAAACACUUCGAAUUUCCCAUGAAAGUAACGCCAUCAAGUAGUGAGAUGGGAUAUAGGGGAAACAAACAUCGAAAAAAUAACUAGAAAGUCGAGCGGGAAAAUACUAUGAAAUUUAAGCAUUUUUAGGUUAACAAUCUGUUGACUAGGAUUCUAUUAAAUCACGUAGGACGAAAGUAUGUUAAAAAAAAAAUCGAUCAUUGAUUUAAUCAAGAGUAUCGAUUGUUACAUUUAAGUGUUGUGUUUCAACGUGCGAAUUAACCUCAAAUUCACGCGGAGAUAAUUAAAUCUCGAGAGUAACUGAACGUGUAAUUGGAAAAUUACGUUCUAAAAGAAUUUAUUUUCUAAUUUAAGAAUCGUUCGUACUCGAAACCAUGAAGGCUACAAGCUCGACGUGCGUUGAAAUAGGAAAAUUUUUAUCGGGAGCUAAAACUCGAUUGUUUGCGCAAGAAAAAAACGAAAAAGAAGAAAAAAGAAAAAACGAACAAAUAAGAAACAACGUUCGGUAACAAUUAUUACGUUAGUCGAAUGUCCAUCGUGUGUGUAACGUAAUCUAGAGGAAAAAUAGCGACGUAUGUGUUACAAAAACAUUCUUUAAUAGAGGACGCCCGAAUUGUGAUACGUUUAUAAUGUUUGUAAGCCGAUACCUGUUCACGGAACAAAUUCAUUCAAACGACGGCCCGUUGUUCAGCGAUCGAUUCCCGCUCAGCAAUGUCACUGUUUACACUGCAACGAUCUGCAUCGAUCAUUUCUUGUUCUUCACACCUGGUUAUUGCACGUACACUCGUUAGCCGCGCGAACGAUCACUGACACUGGCGCCAUAUUCUAUCAAGAUAUCGAUACGAUUGUCAACUUCGAGUUAUGAAAAGUACUCAACUAGUCAGAGCAAUGGCUUCAUUUCAGUUUUAGUGAUAUUUUAAAUUUUAAAUUUAGACAAAGAUUGUUUAUCAGAUAAUUUUAUACAAUUGUACGUAAUUUGCAUUCAAUUUUACUAUAUAUAUAUAUAUAUAUAUAUCGAAAUUUCACAUCACAAACGUAUCGUCGAUCUUUCUCUUGAUCACGUAGUACUGAAAUAUUUUCUUCCGUGAACAUACAUCGUGUAUCUUGUUAAACAAUAGAAAUUAUCACGGCAAGUUCACGCAUACGUAUAACUGAAGCGCGUGUGUGAAUUUCCGACUCGAUGUACGUAUACACAUAUUAGGCGAAAAUGUAUAGAGGAUAUCGUUAGUCAAGAAUGGGAUCGAUUGAAGGUGAAUAUUUCUAAGAAGAAUAUUUCUUUAUUUUUCAUUCAACGAGGUUAAUUGAAAUUUUUAUUUUAUAAGGGAAAUAACAGAAACGAAAACGUGUCUAACGAUUCUUGAUUAACGAUUGACGAUCUAUUCUUGAUUAACGUCGUAACGCAUAUUUAAAUACCCGAUGUUGCGAGACAUUGCGACCGACAAAGCCUCUCGAUCGAAAUCGAGGAAGCGAUAGAGGACAACUUUAAACAUAUAGUUCGAUGAUAAAACGGGGACGUGCCGGGAAACUAUUCAAAACAAAUCAGACAGACGCAGAGUGAAAAAAAAAAAAAGAAAAACAAGAGGAACCGGCUGAUUUACUUUUCUCAAUUUUAAUUGAACACAUGCGUAAAACAAUGAACAUUUCAUCCUCUGCCAACGGAUAUAGAUGCGAAAUUUAAAGUUGCGCAUGCGCGUGAGUCAUAUGUUUAAAAGAAGCAAUUAAUACCCUAAAAGAAUCGUGCGUAAGAGUUACUUUGGUGUUUUCGUUGAUGAUGAAAGGAUAAAAAUCCCGACGUAUUUACGAGUUGCAGCUUUCUGUGUAAGGUUAUUGUGAUAUCUAAAAGGAAAAAAAAAAUAAUAACUUUACCGUAGCGAUAUAAAAUUAAUUCAGACUUAAGAAUCUGAUAUUUAGUGAGCAAAUAAAGAGGAAAAAAAAAAUGAAUAAUCAGUAUGCCGACGGGGCUUUUGAGUGAUGCCUCACCGCGAUCGAUCCAAUAUGGCAACGCAUAGAGAAUGAACAAAGAAAAAAAAAAUACAGCGACCCGUGAGUGGCCGCGUCUCUCUCUCUUUUUUUUUUCGUCACCUUCUUCACGGGCGAGGUUAAAACGACAAUCUUAGGCCUCGUCAAAAUACUGCCGGAUACGUGAGGACAUUCCGAAAAUCGGUCGCAAAGCAACGUGAGCUAGUUCUACUAUUUUUUUCUGCAGUCGAACUCGAAUGUUAUAAAUAAUAAUUGCAAGAAG